CUGGCUCAGGACGAACGCUGGCGGCGUGCCUAAUACAUGCAAGUCGAGCGAACAGAGAAGGAGCUUGCUCCUUCGACGUUAGCGGCGGACGGGUGAGUAACACGUGGGCAACCUACCUUAUAGUUUGGGAUAACUCCGGGAAACCGGGGCUAAUACCGAAUAAUCUGUUU
rnacentral:rRNA from 1 species